rnacentral:rRNA from 1 species
UACAUAUAAGGCAAUGUCUGCCCGGUGAAUGACUUUAACGGCCGCAGUACACUGACUGUGCAAAGGUAGCAUAAUAAUUUGUCCUUUAAUUAGGGACUGGAAUGAAUGGCGCUAUGGGAGAUGACUGUCUGAUGACAAGGAUUUAAAAUUUAUUUAGUGGGUGAAAAUACCCAUAAAAAUUAAAUAAGACGAGAAGACCCUUAGAAUUAUAACAAUUAAUAUUUAUUUUAUUGGAGUUUUUGUUGGGGCAACAUUAACCUUUUAAAACGGUUAAAUAAAGAGAAAAACAUGUAUUUUAUAAUAUGUAAGCAUUAAUUANUGAGGGAUAACAGCAUAAUUUAUUAAUAAGAUUGUGACCUCG